AGCGAACGCUGGCGGCAGGCUUAACACAUGCAAGUCGAGCGGGCAUCCUUGUGGUGUUUGCGGCAGACGGGUGCGUAACGCGUGGGAACGUGCCCUUCGGUUCGGAAUAACUCAGGGUAACUUGAGCUAAUACCGGAUACGCCCUUUUGGGGAAUGGUUUAUUGCCGAAGGAUCGGCCCGCGUCUGAUCAUUUAGUUGGUGAGGUUAUGGCUCACAGAGGAGAUGAUCAGUGGCUGGUCUGAGAGGAUGGUCAGCCACACUGGGACGGAGACAAGGCCCGAACUCCUGCGGAAGGGAGCAGGGGGGAAUAAGGGACAAUGGGGGCAACACUAAGCCAGUCAUGCCGUGUAGGUGAUGAGGGCCGUAGGGUUGUAAAGCUCUUUUCACCGGGACGAUAAUGACGGUACCGGAGGAAUAAGCCCCGCCUAACUUCGU
rnacentral:rRNA from 1 species